AGAGAAGUACACUCGGAUGGUGUUUUCAAGUGCCUGGACACAUCCGGAAGUGACGAAGCACAACCACUAAAAUGACUAAAAGAGAAACGGGAAAGUGAUUGACAGCUGAGACAGAGGACGUGUAAGCAGGAAGGAUUCAUGAAGAGGUUUGGGUUCUUCACUGAAAGAAGCUCAUCAGUUACUCUAGAAGACAGGAGCCGGAGUGUUUUCAGAGGUUUAGCGACAAACCUUACUUUAAUGUCAAGCUGAUGCUUAAAAACCGGCGUUUUUCUCGCUUCUCUGCCUUGACUCUCACUUUUCUAUGUUUUGCGACGUGAUUAUGAGUAUAAAGUAUUUAGUUAAAGAAGGCGAGUGAAAAUGUUAAGGAUCUGUUGAACGUUUUAACAAGACACGCAUUCGCUGCGCACUUUCACCCACUUUUAGGCUGCUACCGGAUAUAACUCUUAUAUGCCUUGUAUGCCCCGGGAACCAAUCAGAUUACAGCAGCUGAGACAAGGUCCGCCCACAUAAGAGAACUGGUUCCAUCUGGUUGUGUGUUGUUUGACUCUGCGCGUGCAAAAGUUGCUGUCUGUGCCGCUGAGUGGAACUAUGAAGCGACUGAGGAGGACAAUGCUACCAUGUCCUUCAAAACCACUGACAUGGAGAGAGCCGACCAAGUGACUAUAACUUUAACCAGAGGAAGUCAGAAAGAAGUGAUUGAGCGAUACUGUCGUUAUGAGGACUGUACUCCCAAGAAAACACCAGGAGUCGUGCUGAGAAUUAAAGAAGGAACCUUAACUCUUCUAAAUGUGAGCUACAAUAGCUCUGGUCUCUAUGAAGCAAAGAUCAUGUCUGGAAGCGAAGUGGACACGUACAAUGCUACACUUCAAGUCAACAAACCUGCAGCAUCCUUCAGUGGAUCCAUCUCAACACGCCAAAGGCUAUAUGUUUUAAUUGCUCCAUUUGUCUUAAUCUCAGUGGUCUCGGGUACAUUCUCUUCUUUAAAUUAAGAAAAUGUUUUGAAGCUCUAAAUAUUAGGGCUGCACCAAAACCACACAUGAAGGUCCAGAUAGUUUGAAGGGAUGACAGUUUUUAAGAAACAAUCUCUGCUGUAAACAAUCCAGGGAACCCUUUUAUAUACUAAUCAAACUUUCAGGUACAUUAAAACAGUUUUACUCAGUAUUUGCACAGAAAAGCUGUAUUUAGAUAUGAAUUUACACUAAUAACUGCCAGUAAGCUCCUCUGUAGUGUUUUAAUCGUAAAAGCAGUGGCUUGUGCUGCCUCUUAAACUGAAAUGUCAUUAAUGGCAUUAAUUUUAUUUUUGUGAUCUUGUAUUAAAUUACAUGAAGUGCUAGGCGACACAGGACCGGCAGGAUACAGUCCCCUGCUCAUCAGCAGCUCUUAAACACUACUAGCCUUACUCUAGCCCUAGUCAUUAGUUUAUAUUUGAUUGGAUUCAGAUCAUAUUGAAUAAAACUGAACACCAGACACUUUCUCUUGUCUCUGUAGCUCUAGACAUUCAGACACAGCUUCAGUGCCAUUAAAACCAAAGUAUAGAAAAUAAACAGUGAAUCCAAAGAAGCUGCCAAACAUAUCCAUUCAGAAAUAUCAUCAGGGCGUCUUUUAAUCAUGAUUUUGUUCACGUUAUAAUUAGGCAAGCUGUAGCUUCAGAUAUAUAUAGUGCUAUAAGUGCUCUCCAGUUUGUGUGCCUUUAUGAAUCAAAUGUCAUUGCUGUUUUUCUGACAGUAUGAAGGUAUAUUCAUGCACUUUUUUUUUAACGCAUUGUGUACUUCAACGCUUUGCAGAUUUUUUUCUGUAUGUAUUUGUGUUGUACCCAUCAUCUGACUGGAUGCACUUGAAUAAGAAACAUUAUUUAUUGUUCAGCUUUUUAUCUCAUACUGUUACAUAUAAUACUUAUAUGAAAGGAUGAACUGUCUUCUAUGUUUCUGUUAAGACCUGAUGAACAACUAUCAGCUGUACGGCAUCAAUAAAACACUCCUGAUCUACA